rnacentral:rRNA from 1 species
AGCAAUAAAGAACCCGGUGACAGGUGCUGCAUGGCUGUCGUCAGCUCGUGUCGUGAGAUGUUGGGUUAAGUCCCGCAACGAGCGCAACCCUCGCCUUUAGUUGCCAGCAUUCAGUUGGGCACUCUAGAGGGACUGCCGGUGUCAAACCGGAGGAAGGUGGGGAUGACGUCAAGUCCUCAUGGCCUUUAUGUCUAGGGCUACACACGUACUACAAUGGCCGGUACAGAGGGCAGCGACCUGGUGACAGGUAGCGAAUCUCCAAAGCCGGUCUCAGUUCGGAUCGGAGUCUGCAACUCGACUCCGUGAAGCUGGAUUCGCUAGUAAUCGGAUAUCAGCAAUGAUCCGGUGAAUACGUUCCCGGGCCUU